GAUGAACGCUGGCGGCGUGCCUAAUACAUGCAAGUCGAGCGAACAGACGAGGAGCUUGCUCCUCUGACGUUAGCGGCGGACGGGUGAGUAACACGUGGAUAACCUACCUAUAAGACUGGGAUAACUUCGGGAAACCGGAGCUAAUACCGGAUAACAUGUUGAACCGCAUGGUUCAACAGUGAAAGACGGUCUUGCUGUCACUUAUAGAUGGAUCCGCGCCGCAUUAGCUAGUUGGUAAGGUAACGGCUUACCAAGGCAACGAUGCGUAGCCGACCUGAGAGGGUGAUCGGCCACACUGGAACUGAGACACGGUCCAGACUCCUAAGGGAGGCAGCAGUAGGGAAUCUUCAGCAAUGGGCGAAAGCCUGACGGAGCAACGCCGCGUGAGUGAAGAAGGUCUUCGGAUCGUAAAACUCUGUUAUUAGGGAAGAACAAAUGUGUAAGUAACUAUGCACGUCUUGACGGUACCUAAUCAGAAAGCCACGGCUAACUACGUG
rnacentral:rRNA from 1 species